UCGGCUUCCUCCGUUUCACCCCCUGCUCUUUAUGUUUAACUUCAGGAGCGCCAUCUCGUUCCCAUCAGGGAAACGCGGCGGGACGGCUCGCAGGACCCGAACGCAGUGGAGGACGGCUGCGUUCUUUUCAGGAGAGACAGCCGAGGUCACCGGGACUUCUCGAGCUCUGCCUAAGGAUGAAGGAAGAAUUAGGAGAGCCCCGGGGCGCCUCAGCCUAGUCGAGGUGCUUCCGGAGCUCGUAUUCCUGUUGUAGGAUGCAUUUAUGAGUGAUACGAAGAUAGGGGUGACCCGAAGCGCAGCGGCGGCAAGACGUUGAAGUUUAGGACCUGACGUGGAGCAAUAAGGUAUCUCCUAUCGUCCUUUUUCCCGUAUCGUAAUGGGCUAAGCCUAGGCGUGUCGAGCAAGGCGGCAGAAGUGAGUAUCAAAGAGCGUUCCGCCGUGUUGUGUGUUUAUUUUUCCAGACAAGGCGGGUGAGGACGGUAGGAUAGCCCGAGUUAGAGCAGCCUUAAGUGAGGGCGAGAAGGACAGCCGGCGUGACAGCAGCCGGUAGGUGUCACCUUCCUUUUGGGGCACGGUGUCGGGAUAGCAUGUUGCGGAUGUUGUUUUGCUGCUUUUAUUACAGGUUGAGCACAGUAGCGGAGCGUUUGGCAGGGAGGACGGGUGAGCAGCGCAGCCCGGCUGUUGCAGCAUCCCUUCAGAAGCGGUUUGAGGAGCAGAGUCGGCAUGGCAUCGACGCACCUGCGAGGAGUCAGGAAUGAGCUGGAGUGAGGAGAAGCUGGGUUCUGGAUCCUGCAAAAGAAGACUUGGUUUAGUACAAGCAUCAGGAAAGAGCUCUUUGGAAUGGCUCUGGCUCUAUGCCUUAGGGGGUAGAGGAAAUUUGCUGGUAAAGAAGGUUUGGCAAAGUGGCUGGAGAAAGCCAACCUGAUUGGAGGGGACAUGUGACUCCUACCUCUGCGUGAGGUGGCCCUGACUUCAACUGCUCUGCACAAGAGUUGCAUCCGAAUCCUCUGAGAACUGUGUCGGCCCUGGCCUGUGACUGCUGCCUCAGGGAAGCCUGUUUUGAUAUCUCAGACUUCUAUAGAGCAAAAUUUUCCAAAAUCUCCAACCUGUAAUUCCUCAAACCUAACAAACACAAAAGCUACCGGGGAAAAGAAGCUGACCUCACCUUCCAAAAGCUCCCUUUCAGUGAAGCUGAAUGGAGGAAGUUUGAGCCCUUCUUUGGAUGCUUUCUGAGAGCUUUAUUUUUUUAAUUGAUUUUGUUUUGUAAAUGAAAUAGUCAUCUACAGACUUAGAAUAUAUUAGAUAGCUGAAAUUCAUGGAUAUAUUGUUCUAAUAGUGGAAUGGAAUAAAAUCUAAUAAAUUACCCUGAACUUAAACAUUGUUACAAUCUGUGUCAUUUCAAUGAUUACACUUUCUGCAUACUACAAUACUUAUUAUCCAU